rnacentral:rRNA from 1 species
GAUGAACGCUAGCGAUAGGCUUAACACAUGCAAGUCGAGGGGUAACGUGUUGGAAGCUUGCUUCCGAUGACGACGACCGGCGGAUGGGUGCGUAACGCGUAUGCAACUUGCCUCACAGUGGAGAAUAACCCGGAGAAAUCCGGACUAAUACUCCAUACACUCUUAAGUACGCCUGUACAUGAGAGGAAAGAUUUAUCGCUGUGAGAUAGGCAUGCGUCCUAUUAGGUAGUUGGUGAGGUAACGGCUCACCAAGCCGACGAUAGGUAGGGGUGCUGAGAGGCAGAUCCCCCAGAUGGGGAAGGAGACCCGGCCCAAACUCCACCGGGAGGCAGCAGUGAGGAGUAUUGGUAAAUGGAGGAAACUCUGAACCAGCCAAGUCGCGUGAAGGAAGAAUGUCCUAAGGAUUGUAAACUUCUUUAGCGAGCGAGAAAGGACUUCGACGUGAUGGGAGUUUGAAAGUAGCUCGAGAAUAAGUAUCGGCUACCUCCGUG